UACGUAGGGGGCAAGCGUUGUCCGGAUUUAUUGGGCGUAAAGAGCGUGUAGGCGGCCAGACAGGUCCGUUGUAAAAACUCGAGGCUCAACCUCGAGAUGUCGAUGGAAACCGUCUGGCUAGAGUCCGGAAGAGGAGUGUGGAAUUCCUGGUGUAGCGGUGAAAUGCGCAGAUAUCAGGAAGAACACCUAUGGCGAAGGCAGCACUCUGGGACGGUACUGACGCUGAGACGCGAAAGCGUGGGGAGCGAACAGG
rnacentral:rRNA from 1 species